GUGUUUCAUAAAAAGGAAGAGCACAUAUACUAAAACUGGAAUGAUAGAGAAGUUUGCAUGGUCUCUGCACUAAAAUGACAUGCAAAAGCAAAAAGCAUUCUAUAGUUUU